rnacentral:SRP_RNA from 1 species
GGUCCUAUGCAAGAAACAAUUUCCAAACCCCGUCAGAUUCGGAAGAAAGCAGCGGUAGGAUUUUUGUUUUUGUGCCGUAGUGUACCUGG